rnacentral:rRNA from 1 species
CCUAACUCGUGGACGUGGAUAACCUCGGGAAACUGAGAAUAAACCACGAUAGAUCAUAGUGCCUGGAAUGGCUUAUGGUCCAAACAGUUUACUGCCAUGGGAUGGGACUGCGGCCUAUCAGCUUGUUGGUGAGGUAAUGGCCCACCAAGGCGAUUACAGGUACGGGCUCUGAGAGGAGAAGCCCGGAGAUGGGUACUGAGACACGGACCCAGGCCCUAUGGGGCGCAGCAGGCGAGAAACCUUAGCAAUGUGCGAAAGCACGACUGGGUCAGUCCGAGUGAUUCCUGAUAAAGGAGUCUUUUGCUUGUCCUAAAAGCACAGGUGAAUAAGGGGUGGGCAAGUCUGGUGUCAGCCGCCGCGGUAAUUCCAGCACCUCGAGUGGUCAGGACGUUUAUUGGGCCUAAAGCAUCCGUAGCCGGCUUUGCAAGUCUUCGGUUAAAUCCACCUGCUCAACAGAUGGGCCGCUGGAGAUACUACAGAGCUAGGGAGUGGGAAGAGGCAGACGGUAUUCAGUGGGUAGGGGUAAAAUCCUCUGAUCCAUUUGAGGACCACCAGU